AACACGGUUCGUAGGUGAACCUGCGGAAGGAUCAUUAUCGUAGGGCUUCGGCCCUGUCGAGAUAGAACCCUUGCCUUUUUGAGUACCUUUUUCUGUUUCCUCGGCAGGCUCGCCUGCCAAUGGGGACCCAACCAAACACUUUGUAGUACCUGUAACCGUCUGAACAAACAAACAAAAAAUUAAAACUUUCAACAACGGAUCUCUUGGUUCUGGCAUCGAUGAAGAACGCAGCGAAAUGCGAUAAGUAGUGUGAAUUGCAGAAUUCAGUGAAUCAUCGAAUCUUUGAACGCACAUUGCGCCCUUUGGUAUUCCUUGGGGCAUGCCUGUUCGAGCGUCAUUUAAACCUUCAAGCUCAGCUUGGUGUUGGGUGACUGUCCGCUUCAUCGCGGACUCGCCUCAAAAUUAUUGGCGGCCGGUACAUUGGCUCUCGAGCGCAGCAGAAACGCGUAACUCGAGGUCCUAGUGCUGGCUCCCAGAAGCUAUCUUCACAAUUUUGACCUCGGAUCAGGUAGGGAUACCCGCUGAACUUAAGCAUAUCAUAACCCCGGAGGAAA
rnacentral:rRNA from 1 species